CGGGGUGUGGCGCAGUCCGGUUAGCGUACGUGCUUUGGGAGCAUGGGGCCGGAGGUUCGAAUCCUCUCACCCCGACCA
rnacentral:tRNA from 1 species